UGCACGGUGGCGUAGUGGUUAGCACAUUUGCCUCACACCUCACACCAGGGUUCGAUUCCCGUCGGGGCCA